rnacentral:rRNA from 1 species
CCCUUAGAUGUUCUGGGCCGCACGCGCGCUACACUGAUGCAUUCAACGAGCCUAUCCUUGACCGACAGGCCCGGGUAAUCUUUGAAUCUGCAUCGUGACGGGGAUAGAUUAUUGCAAUUAUUAAUCUUCAACGAGGAAUGCCUAGUAGGCGCAAGUCAUCAGCUUGCGUCGAUUACGUCCCUGCCCUUUGUACACACCGCCCGUCGCUCCUACCGAUUGGGUGUGCUGGUGAAAUGUUCGGAUCGGCCGUUUGUCGCGGUUUCCGCGUCAUGUGGCUGAGAAGUUCAUUAAACCCUCCCACCGAGAGGAAGGAGAAGUCGUAACA